AUAGUUGACAUGAUUUGUCAAUAAGCUUAUGGAUUAUUUCAUUAAUAAUUCAUAAGCUUAUUGACAAAUCAUGUCAACUAU